rnacentral:tRNA from 1 species
UUGAGCAUGGACCACAUAAUGGGGCAUUGCACCAGACUUAAAAUCUGGAGGUUGUAUGGUUGUGCGGGUUCAAGUUCCGCUGCCCAAA